rnacentral:rRNA from 1 species
AAGUCGAGGGGCAGCACGAGGUAGCAAUACUUUGGUGGCGACCGGCGCACGGGUGCGUAACGCGUAUGCAACCUACCCAUAACAGGGGGAUAACACUGAGAAAUUGGUACUAAUACCCCAUAAUAUCAUAGAAGGCAUCUUCUUGGGUUAAAAACUCCGGUGGUUAAAGAUGGGCAUGCGUUGUAUUAGCUAGAUGGUGAGGUAACGGCUCACCAUUGCGAUGAUACAUAGGGGGACUGAGAGGUUAACCCCCACAUUGGUACUGAGACACGGACCAAACUCC